UACGGAGGAUGCGAGCGUUAUCCGGAUUUAUUGGGUUUAAAGGGUGCGUAGGCGGUUUUUUAAGUUAGUGGUUAAACGUCGGGGCUUCACCUUGAUUUGCCAUUAAUACUGUAAGACUCGAGUUCAGACGAGGUAGGCGGAAUAAGUUAAGUAGCGGUGAAAUGCUUAGAUAUAACUUAGAACUCCGAUAGCGAAGGCAGCUUACCGGCGCUCAACUGACGCUGAGGCACGAAAGUGCGGGUAUCGAACAGG
rnacentral:rRNA from 1 species